UCCUUAUGUUAAGAAAUUUUGUCUCUUUGAUAUUGGAAAAGGAAAAGUAGUUAUGGACUAACCUUUUCCAAAAACCAUUUGACACGGCUUCUUUACCCAAUUAAAAGGCACAACCUAUUUUUGUAAAAUGGAAAUAUUAUGUCGUAGAAUUAACUAUUUGCAAAGUAGAAUUCUGCUAGCUAGCAUAUCAUAUUAUAUUAUAUUUAUAGUAAUAACAGCGAGGAAGACUUAAUGGUAAUAGUUCCUGGAAAGGGAAAGGGAAAGAAAGAGAGCAAUAAUGCAUUUGAGAACACCGACACCACACAGUGCCUCAGAUCCAGUAACAGCUAUAAAGUCAUAGUUUCCUCUCAACUCAAAUAAUCUUUGUUAAGAAACGGUUAAGUAUAAUUUUUGUAUGUAAUUAAUCUUCAUGAAUCACAGUGUUUGAAUAGCAACAGUAAAAGAGCCAAAAAAAAUCAAAUCUACCUACAUAUAUCCAAAUAGUGGCGUUAUAUCAUGGCUUUAUGUUCCAAUCACCGACGCAGCUUUGUGGUUGUAAGACAGUUGCACAGCUUGGUCUAAUUUAGGCUCCAGCUGGAAAUUAAUUGGCUUCACUUUCUUCAGGUCCAUUUUUCCUGACUACUUAUUCAUGCAAUCACUAUUUGACUACUUAUUAGAUUGUGCGUGGCAUAAUUCUGCUUAUGCUCUGCUCCACUGUUUCAAUCACAACACUUUCAGUCAAAAUACCUUAAAAAAAACUCUAAACUUGGCACGCAUUAUUAGUUACAUACUUGUGAUGGAUUAUUAUAUGCAACGGAAGCAAUCCCAAUAUCAAAAUCACAUGUAAUGUAGAUAACUAGUAUAAACGGGAUUUCACGAGUUAUCUCUUGAAGCGUGAACAAAGCUCCCCUAUCACGUGAGCCUCCAAUUCCACAGCAACUCAAUGAAAUCUCCAUCACCCGCAGGAUCACGAUAUUCGAACGUUCCACGGUCUUCUACUGUGUUACCCAAAUAAUAUCCGAAAAAUAACAAUUUCGUGUGGGAGAAAUUUUUAGGAAAAUAUUGGCUGAAAUUUUCGGCCACCUUGUUCUACUCCCUCUAGGUAGAAAACAUUAUGUAUUUAUAACACAAGUUUUAAGGGUUAAAACUCUUUUCCAAAACCUGUUAGGUUUUCCUUUCUAUUAGAAAAAGGUUUCCUUUAUUUCCGAUUAUUUAGACACAUCAGGGUCCACAGAAUUUAAUUAACAAGGCUUCCAAUUAUGGAAUCAAUUUCUAAUUUUUGAAAUUAAUAUCCACCAUAUUUAAUUACAAAUUAUUCCACUAAAAAUCGUAAUUGCACUCCUUAUUCAAUUUCGAAAUUCAUCCAUUAAAUCUUAUUAACUCCCCAUGUUAAGAUUCAGAUACUAAUUAAUUAAAUUAAAUUACUGACAAUUUAAUUUAUUGGUUAUUUCCUUUAGAUUUUCGCUUAACUUAUUUCAUGUGUCGGAUACAAAAUCCACCGGCUGGGUUUACACAUGAAAACUUAUAAGUUUUCAUAAAGGUGUAUCAUCAAUCUCUAAACCGAGGCAUGGAUUCCAUCAACUAACUAUUACUUCGCCAAUGUACAUUAUUAUUAUCCAAUUUACCAGGCAUAUUGACCCACGAAAGAAUCUCGUCAUUUAAUAAAUCAAAACAAUAAUAAUAUACAUAGCUAAUAAUAAUUAUAUCAAGAUUAAGAGUAUAAGUACAUUUAAUGGCUAGAGAAUUUAUUUUAUUAAGUCAGUAUAAAAUACUUAUCUCUACUUGGUCCGUUCAAUACAUACAAAAUGUACUAGUACAAAAAGUUAGAAUUAAACUAUUCCCAUAAUCAAGAUAAAUUAUAUUUAAUCUUGUGCUACAAUCAUCCAUGAUGGUUUAUCCAAUUCCAUCAUUAGAUUGUGAACUCAAACUUUAUACUUAUAAGAACCGGUGAUUUAAUCUUUCGUGUAUAAGCUAAACUCUAUACACUAAAUCAUUUACUAUAUAAACAAGGGACACAGACUAAUAUAUGAUCUAUUUAAAACUUUAUUAAAACUGAAUAAAUAAUUAUUUCAUAAUAAAUACUAUAUCUAAACCAAAGUCAUGGUUAAUAGUAUAUAUCCCAAUAAACCUAUGGAAAUCGUACACAUAAUCACAAUAAAUUUAUUAUUAAUCGCUCCUAAAGCAAGCUACGAUGUUCUUUGAAUUAUUUUUCCUAGUUUGAGAUUUGUUGUAAGGCCAAAAUUAUGAGAAGUGAUUGUGGAAAUAUUCAUCACCUACUGAUUAUUUAUGCGAUUGUUUACACCUCUACAUUAUGGAAAGUGUUUGCAAUUAUUCCUUAUGGGAUAGACAUGAAUUAGCCUAUGAGUUUAUUGCUAUGGGAUUGAUGGCCCAUUUAAAAAAAUCAGAAUCUCGUAAAAUCAAGCCCAAACCCACAACCCGUCAAUUGUCAAAUAUUUAGCUAAUGGCCAUGUCUCUUUGCAUUCAGUUAAACCAAAUGGCACACUUAGUCUUCAAUUACAAAUCUUAACAAAUAAACAGAACCAAGAUGAUAUACUACAAAAUACAUUUUAUUACUUUGCUAAUCAAGUAACUAAUCAGCAGGAAAGUUUAACAACCAAAUGAAACCCAACAAAAAGCCUAAGAAAUCAACUCCAUCUCGCAAAUCAAACAUGAGGCUUAAUCACUCGUUCACGAGCAUAAUAAAUAAUUAAAAUCCACACCAAAAAAGUAAGCAAAGAAAUGGACCUUUAUUAGUGAUGAGCGUACAGUGAAAGCCAAGGUUUCAAAAUCAUCAAGUGAAAACGCACAAGACCAGCGGACGAGCGCCUUGACUGGAACUCGAUCGCGACCUCAACGGCAACCUCACACUCCACUUUUCUGACUGAUUUUGCUGGGUUUGAGGGGCUGUUUCGUGGUGCUUUUGGUUGGUAUUUUGGGGCUGCUUUCACCUGGAUUUCGGGGCUGGUUUUUAGCUGCAUUUUCAAGGUUUUUUGGAGUUAAAAAUGAGGUGUUUGGCUGGUAUUUUGGACUAGUUUAUUCAGCGAUUUUGCAGCUGUGUUUGGUUGCGUUUUUUGGGCUAAAACGAUGGUGUUUUGGAGGAGGAAGUAGGUGUUUUGAGGCUGGUGGAAUAGUGGUUGUUUUGAGCACGUUUUUUGGUGGUUUAAUGGAGCCUUUUGGAGGAAGAAGAGGGUUUGGGGACUGCUUUGUGUACUACUAUGAAGCUAUGUUAAUGGAGGAAGAAAAAGAGAUCACAAACUCUAUUUUUGUGAAGCUAUGGCUGCUCCUUUCUUCUCUCAAUCCCAGUUUUUGUUUCUUUUAGAUCUAUUCCUCUCUUCCUAUAUCCCCACCCACUUCUAUUGCUAUGUAUAUGAAGAUAUAUAAUGCAAUCUGCGUGUAAGUGAAUGCUUGGAGGGGAAAAAAUGUUAGUGGAGGACAUGAGUGGUGAAAGUGGGAGUGUGAAUGGGGUAAAUGGGAAGUGAGUGGGGGAACUGGGAAGUUAGAUAUUAGGGAGAUGAGUGGGGAAAGUGGAAAAAGAGGCAUUGAUGAGAUGAGUAGGGAAACAUUCAAGCACGGUCAAAAAUUAGAUUCUCACAACAUGCCCCUCUUUGCUU
rnacentral:lncRNA from 1 species